CAUGUGCUCCUGCUCCUGCACAGCAAUGCGCACCAGAACCAUGCCAAGAUCCUUGUGCUGUAGUUGAUCCCUGCCAGGCACAAGGCCAAGGUGGAAUCGGCGCAGUCAGUGGACAAGGAGCAUAUGAAGUGUCAAGUGGAAAAGGUGGAGUCGGAAUUGGUGGAAAAGGUGGAGUCGCUGGAGUUGGUGGAUCAGGUGGAUUUGGUUCUCAAGGAUUUGGUGGAGUGAAGAAAUGAAACUAUGUUUGCAAAAAGGCACGCUAAGCUCUCAGAUGGCACUGCUGGUUGUGGAUGCCAAAAACAAAUAAUUAGUGUUCAAAUCACUAUUACAGUAUAAAUUAAUUGUACAGAGAAAAUAAUAUAUUCUCUUUUACCAAAUAAAUUAAAUUGAUUAUAAUAAAGA